GGGACGGAAGUGGUUUCACCCAGGUGUUGACCGGACACUGCGCCCUCGCCGCCGCGCCCCUAGCCUCGCUGGCUGGGAUCGCGGCCUCUCUGCACGCCCACCCUCACCCCCCCGGGGGGCUCUUCCACGAGAGUCCAAGAGACCCCUCCAAGGGCCCAGAGACCUUACAGAAAAAACAGGAAGAUUUCCUGAAGAUUGGCAGGGGACUCCUGGCACUAAGAGCCAUGGAGGAGGCCACUCUAUGCUGGGGACGCCCAGAUACACGCCACACAAAAAGCCACAAUCCCACCUGCAAGAAAGAAUGACUUCUUUCAUUGACUUCUUUCAAUGACUUCUUUCAAUGACUUGCUGCCUCUGCGGGCAGCCAGAAAGGCAGAUGGGCGCUGGGUUUGGAUACAGGGUGGUGAAAAAGUGUAAGUGGAGAGCGGUGAUGGUUGCAUAGCAAUGUGAAGGUACUUUGAAGGAUUUAAAGUAGUUACAAUGGUAACUUUUAUUGCGGGUAUUUUACCACACACAAACACAAAACAUACUGUAUCAAUGAAAAAAAAAAAAGAGGGUUUUGUGAAGCCGCAGUAUUAUUACUAUUAUAAUUAAUGUUAGCCAGAGAAUUAAAAUUAUUUGGAGAAUAAAACAUGGCCACAAACCCU